AUUACAUUUAUCUGCCCUUGCUGCCUCCGCUACCAUCCGGGAGGGUUUAUCAAGGCACGAACAGGACACAUACACAGCGCGCUUGGUCCUGCAGGACCCAUCCCCAGAAACUCUCCUUCCUGAGCUGGAGACGCAUCGACACCACCAUCUCUGCGGACACAGACACCCCAGACCAUCCGCCUGAAAUACCAAACCCUUCCUUCUGUCCAGCCCCUGUGCCUUUAGAGAAAAUCCAGGCAUCACCACCCACCCCCAGCCCACCACCACGGACUGGUUAAAUGAGCUUCUGAGCAGAAAUACUCACGGCUGAAGAGGGGGCAGGAGCCGGGCUGUAUCUGUUUAAGCGGGAAAGAAAAAAAAAACCUCAGAUCUUCUGUUUGUACUGUAAUAUCUGAGAAAUGGUUUCUGUGAGACUGUUCCUGAAGGCUGUUUCAUGGUAUAUAAUAGUAUUGUCAGUGCAGAUUUCUCUGUAACUUCAUGACUUUUGCUUGCUUAAAAUAUGCUACUUUGA